AAAUGUAUUGACAAGAGGUACUCAGAAGAACAACCGUCGGGAUUGGGAAACUUCAUGGCAUAGUUCAGGCAAGCGUAAAAGCAGUACCUUGCGAAAGUCUCCAGUUGUGUGGUGAGCCACGUCCUCUUCUAGCGACUUCUUGUAUCGAGCAUGAUAUGCUUGUCUUGCCAAAAGCAACUGCUGCGGAGACCUUGUGCAGGCUAUUU